rnacentral:lncRNA from 1 species
GUUCUUCUUAGUCGAUUGAGGUUGUUCUUGAGUCCUGGGUAUCCAUAUGAAGAAAUUCUAAGGACCUUCCACAAUCAGACGAGUAUAAUCAUGUGCUCCUACCUACCUGUUUUCACAAGCUUUAACAGAACCAAAGGUAACAAAUUCUUACUUCAAAGCUUUUAACUUGACACCGGAGUUCAUGAUUUUCCAAUUUCUAUUCUGAUGCAAAUGUUGGUAUUUUUUAUGCACACAGGAGGCUUGAUUCAGUUAAAUCAUGGUAGGCCUCAGCCUCUCCAAUAUGUAGUCAAUGCAGCCUUUUUGGCUACCCUAUACAGUGAUUACCUUGAUGCCGCCGACACCCCUGGGUGGUAUUGUGGACCUAAUUUCUAUUCAACCGAUAAACUCCGCGAGUUUGCCAGGACACAGGUAUGUGAUAUGCUGCUCCUUUAAGCGAGUUUGCCAGGACAUAACUACAACAUUUUUGCUAAUUUUUCUUUUUUGCUUCCCUGUUAUAUUUUUGUAGAUUGAUUACAUCCUUGGGAAGAAUCCACGGAAAAUGAGCUAUAUUGUAGGUUUUGGAAAUCAUUAUCCAAAACAUGUCCACCAUAGAGGUGCAUCUAUACCAAAGAACAAGGUUAAAUAUAACUGCAAAGGUGGAUGGAAAUGGAGGGACACAUCAAAGCCAAAUCCAAAUAUACUUGUUGGUGCCAUGGUUGCUGGUCCUGACAGGCACGACGGUUUCCACGAUGUUCGAUCAAACUACAACUACACAGAGCCAACACUUGCUGGAAAUGCUGGUUUAGUAGCAGCAUUAGUCGCUCUAUCAGGUGACAAAAGCAUACCGAUUGACAAAAACACCCUUUUCUCUGCUGUUCCACCAAUGUUUCCAACACCACCACCACCUCCAGCACCAUGGAAACCAUAAGGUGUCAUUUCGUUGGUUAUCUUUU